rnacentral:rRNA from 1 species
AGGAGGUGCAUGGCCGUCGUCAGUUCGUACUGUGAAGCAUCCUGUUAAGUCAGGCAACGAGCGAGACCCACGCCAACAGUUGCCAGCUCGUCUCCGGGAUGGUGGGGACACUGUUGGGACCGCUCUGCUAAAGAGGAGGAAGGAAUGGGGCAACGGUAGGUCAGCAUGCCCCGAAUUAUCUGGGCUACACGCGGGCUACAAUGGGUGGGACAAUGGGUAUCGACACCGAAAGGUGAAGGCAAUCUCCUAAACCCAUCCGUAGUUCGGAUUGUGGGCUGCAACUCGCCCACAUGAAGCUGGAAUCUGUAGUAAUCGUGUCUCAAAAUGGCACGGUGAACUAUGUCCUGCUCCUU